AAAAUUACCUAGCAGGGGAAACACCGUGAUCCUGCAGGUGGUUUUUCCAGGGUAAGGCCUGUCCAUUGUACUCGGGGUGCACUGACCUCUGUGAUUUCCCCACAUAGGGGAAACUCAGCUGCAUAAUUUGGGUAGUGGGAGAUUGUGUACACACUCUCCCC